CCUACGAGAUGCAGCAGUGGGGAAUAUUGCACAAUGGGGGAAACCCUGAUGCAGCGACGCCGCGUGAGUGAAGAAGUAUUUCGGUAUGUAAAGCUCUAUCAGCAGGGAAGAAAAUGACGGUACCUGAUCAAGAAGCCCCGGCUAACUACGAGCCAGCAGCCGCGGUAAAACGUAGGGGGCAAGCGUUAUCCGGAGUUACUGGGUGUAAAGGGAGCGGAGACGGCAGCACAAGUCUGUAGUGAAAUGCCGGGGCUUAACCCCGGAACUGCUUUGGAAACUGUGCAGCUUGAGUGCAGGAGAGGUAAGUGGAAUGCGUGGUGUAGCGGUGAAAUGCAUAGAUAUUAGGAGGAACACCAGUGGCGAAGGCGGCUUACUGGACUGUAACUGACGUUGAGGCUCGAAAGCGUGGGGAGCAAACAGGAUUAGAUACCCCAGUAGUC
rnacentral:rRNA from 1 species